AGUGAGCUGUGAAUAUUCAAGGCGCUUUAAUGGACCUGAGGUGAUGUAUAUCACACAACAUCGUUAUGCUGGUGAUACUCUGCAUGUGACUGCUUUCAAUGAACACUUUGAGCACAAGUCCAAGACAUAUGAUGUUGCUACUCACUAUCAUGACAAAGCUGUCAUUGAUUUUCUGGCGUU